rnacentral:rRNA from 1 species
GAUGAACGCUGGCGGCGUGCCUAAUACAUGCCAGUCGAGCGAACAGACGAGGAGCUUGCUCCUCUGACGUUAGCGGCGGACGGGUGAGUAACACGUGGAUAACCUACCUAUAAGACUGGGAUAACUUCGGGAAACCGGAGCUAAUACCGGAUAAUAUAUUGAACCGCAUGGUUCAAUAGUGAAAGACGGUUUUGCUGUCACUUAUAGAUGGAUCCGCGCCGCAUUAGCUAGUUGGUAAGGUAACGGCUUACCAAGGCGACGAUGCGUAGCCGACCUGAGAGGGUGGUCGGCCCCACCGGAACUGGGACACCGUCCCGACUCCUUAGGGGAGGAGCAGUAGGGAAACUUCCGCAAAGGGCGGAAGCCUGACGGAGCAACGGCGCGUGAGUGGAGGAGGUCUUCCGAUCGUAAAACCCUUUUAAUAAGGAAAAACAAAUGUUGAAAGUACUAUGCAACGCUUGAAGGUACCUAAUCAAAAAAGCACGGCUAACUUCGUG